GAGGGUGAUCGGCCACAUUGGAACUGAGACACGGUCCAAACUCCUACGGGAGGCAGCAGUGGGGAAUAUUGCACAAUGGGCGAAAGCCUGAUGCAGCAACGCCGCGUGAGUGAUGAAGGCCUUCGGGUCGUAAAACUCUGUCCUCAAGGAAGAUAAUGACGGUACUUGAGGAGGAAGCCCCGGCUAACUACGUGCCAGCAGCCGCGGUAAUACGUAGGGGGCUAGCGUUAUCCGGAUUUACUGGGCGUAAAGGGUGCGUAGGCGGUCUUUCAAGUCAGGAGUGAAAGGCUACGGCUCAACCGUAGUAAGCUCUUGAAACUGGGAGACUUGAGUGCAGGAGAGGAGAGUGGAAUUCCUAGUGUAGCGGUGAAAUGCGUAGAUAUUAGGAGGAACACCAGUUGCGAAGGCGGCUCUCUGGACUGUAACUGACGCUGAGGCACGAAAGCGUGGGGAGCAAACAGGAUUAGAUACCCUGGUAGUCCACGCUGUAAACGAUGAGUACUAGGUGUCGGGGGUUACCCCCCUCGGUGCCGCAGCUAACGCAUUAAGUACUCCGCCUGGGAAGUACGCUCGCAAGAGGGAAACUCAAAGGAAUUGACGGGGACCCGAACAAGUAGCGGAGCAUGUGGUUUAAUUCGAAGCAACGCGAAGAACCU
rnacentral:rRNA from 1 species